rnacentral:rRNA from 1 species
GACGAACGCUGGCGACGUGCUUAACACAUGCAAGUCGAACGGAAAGGCCUCUUUCGGGGGGUACUCGAGUGGCGAACGGGUGAGUAACACGUGAGUAACCUGCCCUUGACUUUGGGAUAACUUCAGGAAACUGGGGCUAAUACCGGAUAGGAGCUCCUGCUGCAUGGUGGGGGUUGGAAAGUUUCGGCGGUUGGGGAUGGACUCGCGGCUUAUCAGCUUGUUGGUGGGGUAGUGGCUUACCAAGGCUUUGACGGGUAGCCGGCCUGAGAGGGUGACCGGCCACAUUGGGACUGAGAUACGGCCCAGACUCCUACGGGAGGCAGCAGUGGGGAAUAUUGCACAAUGGGUGGAAGCCUGAUGCAGCAACGCCGUGUGUGGGAUGACGGCCUUCGGGUUGUAAACCGCUUUCGCUCAUGACGAAGCUUUGUGUGACGGUAGUGGGUAAAGAAGCACCGGCUAACUACGUG